UACGGGGGGGGCAAGCGUUGUUCGGAAUUACUGGGCGUAAAGGGCUUGUAGGUGGCCAACUAAGUCAGACGUGAAAUCCUGGGGCUCAACCUCAGAAUUGCCUCCGAUACUGGCAGUCUCGAGUGCGGGAGAGGUGAGUGGAAUUCCCAGUGUAGAGGUGAAAUUCGUAGAUAUUGGGAAGAACACCAGUGGCGAAGGCGGCUCACUGGCCCGUAACUGACGCUGAGGUGCGAAAGCGUGGGGAGCAAACAGG
rnacentral:rRNA from 1 species